GUCUGAGGCUAUACCACCCUCAACUCGCCUGAUUUUGCCUGAUCUUGGAGGCUAAGAAGGGUCAGACCUGGUUAGUACUUGGAUGGGAGACCGCCUGGGAAUACUGGGUGCUGUGGGCU
ensembl:rRNA n-R5s77 nuclear encoded rRNA 5S 77